rnacentral:piRNA from 1 species
UAUUUUCUAUUAUAUGAGAGACUACCACGA